rnacentral:sRNA from 1 species
UCUGGGUGCAGUGGUGCACACCUAUAAUCUCAGCAUCUCAGGAGGCUGAGGCAGGAGAAUCGCAAGUUCUAGGCCAGCCUCAGCAAAAGCGAGGCCCUAAGCAACUCCGUGAGACCCUGUCUCUA